UACGAAGGGGCUAGCGUUGCUCGGAAUCACUGGGCGUAAAGCGCACGUAGGCGGCUUUCUAAGUCAGGGUGAAAUCCUGGAGCUCAACUCCAGAACUGCCUUUGAUACUGGAGAGCUUGAGUCCGGAAGAGGUGAGUGGAACUCCGAGUGUAGAGGUGAAAAUUCGUAGAUAUUCGGAAGAACACCAGUGGCGAAGGCGGCUCACUGGUCCGGUACUGACGCUGAUGUGCGAAAGCGUGGGGAGCAAAACAGG
rnacentral:rRNA from 1 species